rnacentral:lncRNA from 1 species
UGGGCAUGGGUCUGGCUCCGUGGGCUGCUGGUGGUAAAUGGCUUACCAGCAGUGCAAGGCUGAGGAGCUGCACGUUGGGUGCCUUGGAGCAUAAGGGAGCUGCUACAAUCAGAGGGCGUCUGCUGGUAAGAUCGGAUUGCAAGACCAAGCUCAUCUGGCUUUCCCUAACAGGAAGAGUGGCAGGAUGCCCGUGCUGUCCUCUUCCCUGUGGUUUAUUGUCCAAUCAUAUAAGAAAGUUCUGAAGGAGCAACUGGAAUGAGCCUUCAAGCUGACCAUCCGACCUUCUUCCCAUGCAAACCAUGGUCCUCUGCUUCACCAAAGGAACAGCUGCGUUUGGAGCUUCUCUGACUUCACCUGGAGGGCCACAGUGCACUGGGGCUAUCGACUGGACUCUUCCUCUUGUCCUGGCACAGCUCAGUGGAUACCAGUCCCAGUCCUGCCUUUUUCACCAGGGCUCACCUGAAGGCUGCAGGAAGCUCGCAUCUGUCCACUGGAUUCUUCUUGUGGUGGUGCAGAGGCUCAGAGGACCCAGUCUCAGUCUUUCCCAUUUCCUCAGAGCUUGGGAAAGAAGAGCUUCCUCUGUAGGGUAUGUGGACCUUCCUGGUUUUGCAGUUUGGGGGAUAGCGCUGUGUGAACGUGAGGACUUCUCAGCAGUCGCAAUUCUGCUUAAAAGGC